CUAAAAUUCUCUGGAAAUGAAAGCAGGCCUUUAGUCUGUGUAAGAAAGGAUGAGGCUGGAUGAAAGCAUUUCUCACCUGCGUUGCAGGCAACCAGAAUGGGUUAUCUUCCUUCUCUCUGGGUGGCCCCAAUCACCCAGUAGGGCUGUGGCUCUGCAGAGGGUCCCCAUAGCCCUACUGGUGUUUUGUGUGCGCUGGAACCCCUAUGGCUUGAGCUCAGAGCCUUGCAUGGGCUAAGGCAGAGUUUUGCCAGCAGUUCUCCCCUCCCAGUGCAGUGACCUCAUGCUUGGCAACCUGGGCUGCUGCUGCUCACCUGGUAUAAGAACAUCCAGAACCCACUGCAAGGUGUCCUUCUUAACAAGAAGAGUUAAGAUCUCGUUUCUCCAGACAAUUUUGCAUCUAGUCAUGAAGUGCUGCCACUACGCCAAAGAAGCAAAGACUUGCAGAUCAAGAUAGUCGUAGAACAAGGAGGAAUGGAUUUAAACUAAAAUAGAGGAGAUUUAGGUCAGAUGUGAGGAGGAGAUUUUUUACUCAGAAGGCAGUGAGGCACUGCCAUCCAGACCUAUGUGUGCCCCAUCCCUGGAGGUGCCCAAGGCCAUGGAUGAGGCCCUGGGCAUCCUGAUCUUCUAGGGGGCACCCAGCCCAUGGCAGCAGUGGGGAUGGAGGGGCUAUGAGGCCCUUCCAACCCAACCAUUCCGGGAUUCUAUGACAAAUGCAGAUCCCUUUAUUGGGCUCCAUCUGACAGCCCCUGUUUCUCAGUCCCAAGGCAGUGCCCAUUGGCUUCUGCACCGGUUUGGAGACAGCUGCCACAUCUGUGAGCCAUCAGUGAGCGCGCACCCUGAUGGCCCAUCCUCAGAGGGCUACAAAGAAGCAGGAAAAUGCUCGAAGACUCUCAAGGUAAUCCAAAAAUAUCUGAAGAAACCUUCACCUGCACCAAAAGUUCUUUCAGUACCAAACAACAUCACAGGACAACGGGAAGCUUCCCAGCAGCCGGGUCCUCCAUCAGCACAAUAGCCUCUGUCUGUGCUGUUUCCCAGAUAACUCUGUUCUCUCCCCUAACCCUGAUCAGGAGCCAACUCAAAGCUCUGAGGCACCGCCGUCCUUUGCCAUCCACCUCUUGCCUUGGAACAGGAGCUGAGAUAGGUCAGACUGAUGCAGAAAAGCGCAGUUUCCCAUAGCUUAUGACUGCUGAUUUAUCAACGCCUUUCCGAGAACAAAGCAGCCCAGAUCGCUGGGAAUGACUGAGUUUGCUGGGAGACGCCGUUGCUGCACAGCGCCUGAGAUUGAUGCUGCGCCCCUAAGAUGUAGGAGCCGCGCUACCAUCUCUUUUCCAAUCCCUCAUGACUUCUUUCUGCUCACCUAAAACAAAUGUUCGCAGUUAUUUUAGAUAAAGAAUGAUAGCAAACAAUAAACAGUUGCAAGGAUCGCUGCUUUAAAUCCAUGCAUGAGUGUGUGAAUUCACUGUGGGUGGGGGGAGCUGGGGAGAGGGUUUG
rnacentral:lncRNA from 1 species